AGGUAAGCUACUAAGAGCGAAUGGUGGAUGCCUUGACUGGUAAAGGCGAUGAAGGACGUACUAGACUGCGAUAAGCUACGGGGAGCUGUCAAGAAGCUUUGAUCCGUAGAUUUCCGAAUGGGGCAACCCAAUGUAUAGAGAUAUACAUUACCUAUAUAGGAGCGAACGAGGGGAAUUGAAACAUCUUAGUACCCUCAGGAAAAGAAAUCAAUAGAGAUUGCGUCAGUAGCGGCGAGCGAAAGCGCAAGAGGGCAAACCCAGUGCUUGCACUGGGGGUUGUAGGACUGCAAUGUGCAAGAGGUAAGUUUAGCAGAACAUUCUGGAAAGUAUAACCAUAGAGGGUGAUAGUCCCGUAUGCGAAAAACAAACCUUAGCUAGCAGUAUCCUGAGUAGGGCGGGACACGAGGAAUCCUGUCUGAAUCCGGGUCGACCACGAUCCAACCCUAAAUACUAAUACCAGAUCGAUAGUGCACAAGUACCGUGAGGGAAAGGUGAAAAGAACUGAGGUGAUCAGAGUGAAAUAGAACCUGAAACCAUUUGCUUACAAUCAUUCAGAGCCCUAUGUAGCAAUACAGGGUGAUGGACUGCCUUUGCAUAAUGAGCCUGCGAGUUGUGGUGUCUGGCAAGGUUAAGCAAACGCGAAGCCGUAGCGAAAGCGAGUCUGAAUAGGGCGCUUAGUCAGAUGCUGCAGACCCGAAACGAAGUGAUCUAUCCAUGAGCAAGUUGAAGCUAGUGUAAGAACUAGUGGAGGACUGAACCCAUAGGCGUUGAAAAGCCCCGGGAUGACUUGUGGAUAGGGGUGAAAGGCCAAUCAAACUUCGUGAUAGCUGGUUCUCUCCGAAAUAUAUUUAGGUAUAGCGUUGUGUCGUAAUAUAAGGGGGUAGAGCACUGAAUGGGCUAGGGCAUACACCAAUGUACCAAACCCUAUCAAACUCCGAAUACCUUAUAUGUAAUCACAGCAGUCAGGCGGCGAGUGAUAAAAUCCGUCGUCAAGAGGGAAACAACCCAGACUACCAGCUAAGGUCCCUAAAUCUUACUUAAGUGGAAAACGAUGUGAAGUUACUUAAACAACCAGGAGGUUGGCUUAGAAGCAGCCAUCCUUUAAAGAAAGCGUAAUAGCUCACUGGUCUAGUGAUUUUGCGCGGAAAAUAUAACGGGGCUAAAGUAAGUACCGAAGCUGUAGACUUAGUUUACUAAGUGGUAGGAGAGCGUUCUAUUUGCGUCGAAGGUAUACCGGUAAGGAGUGCUGGAGCGAAUAGAAGUGAGCAUGCAGGCAUGAGUAGCGAUAAUUAAUGUGAGAAUCAUUAACGCCGUAAACCCAAGGUUUCCUACGCGAUGCUCGUCAUCGUAGGGUUAGUCGGGUCCUAAGUCGAGUCCGAAAGGGGUAGACGAUGGCAAAUUGGUUAAUAUUCCAAUACCAACAUUAGUGUGCGAUGGAAGGACGCUUAGGGCUAAGGGGGCUAGCGGAUGGAAGUGCUAGUCUAAGGUCGUAGGAGGUUGUACAGGCAAAUCCGUAUAACAAUACUCCGAGAACUGAAAGGCUUUUUGAAGUCUUCGGAUGGAUAGAAGAACCCCUGAUGCCGUCGAGCCAAGAAAAGUUUCUAAGUUUAGCUAAUGUUGCCCGUACCGUAAACCGACACAGGUGGGUGGGAUGAGUAUUCUAAGGCGCGUGGAAGAACUCUCUUUAAGGAACUCUGCAAAAUAGCACCGUAUCUUCGGUAUAAGGUGUGGUUAGCUUUGUAUUAGGAUUUACUCCGAAAGCAAGGAAACUUACAACAAAGAGUCCCUCCCGACUGUUUACCAAAAACACAGCACUCUGCUAACUCGUAAGAGGAUGUAUAGGGUGUGACGCCUGCCCGGUGCUCGAAGGUUAAUUGAUGGGGUUAGCAUUAGCGAAGCUCUUGAUCGAAGCCCGAGUAAACGGCGGCCGUAACUAUAACGGUCCUAAGGUAGCGAAAUUCCUUGUCGGUUAAAUACCGACCUGCAUGAAUGGCGUAACGAGAUGGGAGCUGUCUCAAAGAGGGAUCCAGUGAAAUUGUAGUGGAGGUGAAAAUUCCUCCUACCCGCGGCAAGACGGAAAGACCCCGUGGACCUUUACUACAGCUUGACACUGCUACUUGGAUAAGAAUGUGCAGGAUAGGUGGGAGGCUUUGAGUAUAUGACGCCAGUUGUAUAUGAGCCAUUGUUGAGAUACCACUCUUUCUUAUUUGGGUAGCUAACCAGCUUGAGUUAUCCUCAAGUGGGACAAUGUCUGGUGGGUAGUUUGACUGGGGCGGUCGCCUCCCAAAUAAUAACGGAGGCUUACAAAGGUUGGCUCAGAACGGUUGGAAAUCGUUCGUAGAGUAUAAAGGUAUAAGCCAGCUUAACUGCAAGACAUACAAGUCAAGCAGAGACGAAAGUCGGUCUUAGUGAUCCGGUGGUUCUGUGUGGAAGGGCCAUCGCUCAAAGGAUAAAAGGUACCCCGGGGAUAACAGGCUGAUCUCCCCCAAGAGCUCACAUCGACGGGGAGGUUUGGCACCUCGAUGUCGGCUCAUCGCAUCCUGGGGCUGGAGCAGGUCCCAAGGGUAUGGCUGUUCGCCAUUUAAAGCGGUACGCGAGCUGGGUUCAGAACGUCGUGAGACAGUUCGGUCCCUAUCUGCCGUGGGCGUAAGAAGAUUGAAGAGAUUUGACCCUAGUACGAGAGGACCGGGUUGAACAAACCACUGGUGUAGCUGUUGUUCUGCCAAGAGCAUCGCAGCGUAGCUAAGUUUGGAAAGGAUAAACGCUGAAAGCAUCUAAGCGUGAAGCCAACUCUAAGAUGAAUCUUCUCUAAGCUCUCUAGAAGACUACUAGUUUGAUAGGCUGGGUGUGUAAUGGAUGAAAGUCCUUUAGCUGACCAGUACUAAUAGAGCGUUUGGCUUAUCUUU
rnacentral:rRNA from 1 species